rnacentral:rRNA from 1 species
AAUAUUGCGCAAUGGAGGGAACUCUGACGCAGCGACGUCGCGUGAGCGAAGAAGGUCUUCGGAUCGUAAAGCUCUGUCUUUGGGGACGAAAGAAAUGACGGUACCCUAUGAGGAAGCCCCGGCUAACUACGUGCCAGCAGCCGCGGUAACACGUAGGGGGCAAGCGUUGUCCGGAAUUACGGGGCGUAAAGGGUGCGUAGGCGGCAUAUUAAGUCAGGUGUGAAACCCCACGGCUCAACUGUGGGCUUGCACAUGAAACUGGUAUGCUUGAGUACAGGAGAGGAAAGCGGAAUUCCUAGUGUAGUGGUGAAAUGCGUAGAUAUUAGGAAGAACACCAGUGGCGAAGGCGGCUUUCUGGACUGUAACUGACGCUGAGGCACGAAAGCGUGGGGAGCAAACA